rnacentral:rRNA from 1 species
UACGGAGGGUGCUAGCGUUGUUCGGAAUUACUGGGCGUAAAGCGCGCGUAGGCGGCUUUGUAAGUUAGAGGUGAAAGCCCGGGGCUCAACCCCGGAACUGCCUUUAAGACUGCAUCGCUUGAAUCCAGGAGAGGUGAGUGGAAUUCCGAGUGUAGAGGUGAAAUUCGUAGAUAUUCGGAAGAACACCAGUGGCGAAGGCGGCUCACUGGCCUGGUAUUGACGCUGAGGUGCGAAAGCGUGGGGAGCAAACAGG